AGUCGGCCUGCGCGGAAGAUGUAACGGGGCUAAGUAGUAAACCGAAGCUGCGGCAAUAUACUUUUGUAUAUUGGGUAGGGGAGCGUUCUGUAAGCGGUUGAAGGUGUGUGGUAACGCAUGCUGGACGUAUCAGAAGUGCGAAUGCUGACAUGAGUAACGAUAAAGGGGGUGAAAAACCUCCUCGCCGGAAGACCAAGGGUUCCUGUCCAACGUUAAUCGGGGCAGGGUAAGUCGACCCCUAAGGCGAGGCCGAAAGGCGUAGUCGAUGGGAAACGGGUUAAUAUUCCCGUACUUCUUACAAUUGCGAUGGGGGGACGGAGAAGGCUAGGUGGGCCU
rnacentral:rRNA from 1 species